GUCUACGGCCAUACCACUGAGAAAGCACCGGUUCUCGUCCGAUCACCGUAGUUAAGCUCAGUAGGGCACGGUUAGUACUUGGACGGGUGACCGCCUGGGAAUACCGCACUGUUAGUU
rnacentral:rRNA from 2 species